rnacentral:rRNA from 1 species
AACGAACGCUGGCGGCAUGCCUAACACAUGCAAGUCGAACGAGACCUUCGGGUCUAGUGGCGCACGGGUGCGUAACGCGUGGGAACCUGCCCUUAGGUUCGGAAUAACUCCCCGAAAGGGGUGCUAAUACCGGAUAAUGUCUUCGGACCAAAGAUUUAUCGCCGUUGGAUGGGCCCGCGUUGGAUUAGCUAGUUGGUAGGGUAAAAGCCUACCAAGGCGACGAUCCAUAGCUGGUCUGAGAGGAUGAUCAGCCACACUGGGACUGAGACACGGCCCAGACUCCUACGGGAGGCAGCAGUGGGGAAUAUUGGACAAUGGGCGAAAGGCUGAUCCAGCAAUGCCGCGUGAGUGAUGAAGGCCUUAGAGUUGUAAAGCUCUUUUACCCGGGAUGAUAAUGACAGUACCGGGAGAAUAAGCUCCGGCUAACUCCGUG